GUUCUUUGGUGGAAGGGUAAACUAAAUGGAGUAAGUGCUUACCGUGUAGGAGCACCCGGCCGUGUUUGUUUGAAACAGGACGUCUCGAUGUAGCCCUAGCUGUGCAGAAACUCGCGACGUCGACCUGACCGGCCUCAAACGCACAGUGCUCCUCCUGCCUCUGCCUCCCAAGUUCUGGGAUUCAAGGCACGCACCACCACUCCCUUAGGGGAAUCAUGGCCUAGCUGCCUUGAGAGGCAUGCCUCAUGGGUUUUUCAGGUUGGAGUCUGUGGCUGCUGGGGCACUCCCUCAGGCAGUGAAGGUUUCAGGCUGAUUUGUGUUUCUCUGCAUGUUCCCUCAGAAGCCAGGGAAGCGUGCAAGCUUGACGGGGCAGUUGGUCUGGGACACUAAUCUAGGUACCCUGCAUAGCUUAAAAUGUCAUUGUAUCCUGGCAGCUACCGUAGUAUUGAUUCUGGUAAUCACCCUUAUAUUCUCUUUCUUAUAAAGGUAUAAAAAUGUGCCUUUAAUCCCAGCAUUCAGGGAGGCAGAGGCAGGUGGAUUGCUGUGAGUUCAAGGUCAGCCUGCCUGGGGGUUGGGGUGAGAGACCAAAGAAUUAAAAAUCAGUGGGCGUUGUUUUAAAGUUUAAAGCACAAGCCUGAACAGAGGCUAGCUAGGUGGAGACAUGUCCAGUCACCUUGGGGGAGGAACUAGCCUCAAUGCCCUGAGGGGAAGAACUAGCCUUACUGCCUUCUUUCCUGCCCACAAGAGAUACAGUUGCUAGGAAACCAGCCCAUCCCCCCUAGGCAGGGAAGCCAUUAAUGGUUUGGGGGCCUUCCUAUCAUCUAAUCAAUUCAAAACACAGCAGCCCCUCUUGUGUUUUGACCAAUAGAUGCUUGCCAGGUAGGAAUCCUCCUGCUUUGGGCAUGCUGGGAGGGACUGGACUCUUUAAAUCACCCAAGUAACCUGAGCACGAGGCUCUUGCCCUCUCACUGCUUAGGGGGUGAGGGUGUGUGAGCCCAAGCUGUAGCUUGUAAUAAAAAGAUCCUCAUGUGUUUGGCAAUGGACUUGACCUUUUGGGGUCUCGUGAAUCAGGCACAACAUACUUGGGGCCUCUCCAUGAUUCCCAAGACCUCUGGGGACUCCCAAGCUGGAGGAUCAGAACCCCACGUAAGCACUUUGGUCUUGGCCAAGUUCUAUGUCUCUGUUCUGUCAUUCUGUGUAUUUUUGAGAUCUCAAGGCACACAGUGGGUGGCCAGGGAUUGGGCGUGUCAUAGUACACCAGCUGAAGAGCUGGCAGACCAAAGCCACGGGGAUCUUGGGAGACGUCCCAGAACCCCGUGGGGCAGUGCUCCCCAAUAGCACUGUGGGGGAUACAGGGUCCCAAGUCUAUUUGACAGGCUUAAAAAGGGCGUUUCUCCCACACAGAGAGGAAGCGCCGCCAACAUACUGGUUUGGGGUUCUUGCUUGCUUGGCUGACGGAAUAUGUUGUUCUGCCUUUGUGUUUGUCUGGCUUUCUGUGGUCACUAUGGAUACUAUGGGACAGACUUCCUCUAACCCUCCCCGUUUCUCCGAACCCUUCCGCCUGCUCCAUGUUCCUGAAGCAGCAGUGCGACCACAGUGAGCACGGGCUGGGAAAGCAUGCAAGGGUGGAGACGGGUGAAAUUGUCCCGCACUUCUCCUGGGCCAGCGAAAUUUCAGCUGGAGGAAACUAGGAAGACAAGUCUCAUUUUAACUGGUAUUGGUUUUAGAGACUGAAAGUUUGCACUGGUGAAUUUUGAUUUUAUAAUUUGUGCCGGAUCCCGCCAGCAGAGUCGAACGAUUCUUGAGUUGGGAGUGAGGAUUAAAAUUAAUAAAAAAACACACAGCACACAGGAGGCUUUUUUAAGAAGGUCCGGACUCGCCAGCCACAGCAAAAAGCCGCCUUAGCAGCAAGCAGCCACAAGCAGCAAGCCUCAAGCCUCUGCAGCAAAACUAGCAGCAACUGCCAGCCUGUCUUUUUAUUGUAGAGUUUUUAGGCUACAGUAGAAACAUCUCAGAACAGUGGGUUAAUUUCCACGAGGAGCCUGAGGAAGAGGUGUGAUCUUCACAAGCUAUCCCACCUGCUGUCACAAACAAAAGAUGGAUUUGCAAAUUCUUCCCUGACUUAGUGAAGGCCUGGUAAAAGCAGUCUUUCUGCUGAGAUUUAAAUAAAGCAGCUGCCUGAGGUACUGUCUACCUGCCAGCGGGCUCCAGCAGUAUCAUGUCAGAACGAAAAGGAUUUUUUUGAUGGAAGUUUCUAUGUUGUCUGAAAAGCAAGAAAGAAAGCAGGAGACUGGGAUUUUAAAAAGGAAAAGGAAAGAAUAGCUUGUCUAAAGUAAGAAUGUCUGAUUAUACCAGAAGAACAGAGCCAGGAAAAGCCUAAUGUCACGAGCGCUUAAUUAUGCCGGAGGACUUUAACCAAGACGCCACAAAGGGCGGCAAGGGGGAAGAAGACUGCAGCUCCAUGUUAGCCCAGGAUUAUACAGGGUUGUAUUCAAGUCCUUGUUAACUAUUACAUGAAAUAUAUGCCUGACUACCAAUUCCUGCAUGAAUGGAUUCCUGCUUUUCUUUGUGGCCGAUGGAUUUGGUUAAGCCUUGGAUGGAUAACUAUGAAGUUUGUCAAUGUAGAUCUACUUGAAAUAGGUGACUGCGACGCUGAAUUGUGGUGUGCUAACCACUGGACAAGGCUGCCCCAACUGGCCCACUGCUAGGGCCCAGCCUAAACUGUGGACAAAGCUGUGGACAUCUGAAGAGUCAUUGUUUCACGUUGCUGAGGACGAGGAUCAGCUAUGGACUGCAAGCUGAAAUCAGAACUUGCUGGAAGCUGACAUGAUUGUUUCCUGUCUCUUCAGUUGGUUCAACUAACCAGAUGCUUCUGAGGACUGACCCAUUGCCCAGCCUUUGACUGGCAUUUCAGCCUUCCUAGCCCCUGUUGCCAACGAUCCUAUUGUCAGUUCUGAAGCAGUUUCAGACGAUGUGAUCUUUGCCCAAAAUCCCACCUAACAGGCUGAAAUGCUAAGUCAAAAGGGGCUCCCUGACAUUAGCUAUGAUCUUGGGCAUUUGCUUAGCUGAAAUGGGAACUAAUAUUGCAGCAAUUGGACAAAAAGCCUGGAGAGAUGCUAGAGAGAAAAGAUUCCAUAGGAUGGUUUAAAUCCUGCUAUAAUAGUUCUCCUUGGCUUACUACCCCUAUAUCUGCCCUGAAGGGACCCCUACUCAUUUUAUUUUUACCUUUGGGCCUUGUAUUUUAAAUAGCUUGAUGGCUUUCAUGAAGGAAUGCUUGAGAGCAAUUUAACUAAUGGUACUCAGAUCCCAUUAUGGAAAGGUGAAUUUGGAGGCCUGACUCCAGGGGCCAUAUCUGGAAGAGCCAUGAUUGGGUCUUCAGAUGAUCGUGGGAUGCUGAAAUGAGAGACCAAAGGAUUAAAAAUCACUGGCUCUUAUUUUAAAGUUUAAAGCACAAGCCUGAAUUAAGUCCAGCUAGGUGGAGACAUGUCCAGCCACUUGCGGGGAAGAACUAGCCUUAACACCCUGAGGGGGAGAACAAGCCUACUGCAGUCUUUCCCCAUCCACUAGUUAUAUAGUUGCUAGGAAACUGGCCCAUAUGGCCAGGCUAGAACUGCUUGUGGUCGUGGCACCUAAAAUGGACCAGUCAUUUCAAAAGUCAAUUUUCCUUACCCAAUCAUGUAACACCAAAGCAUGUAAGUCCCUGCUUGCGUUUUUUUUUUUUUUUGUUUUUUUUGUUUUUUUUCCUUUAAAAACCCUGUUCCCCUAGACUGCAGGGCCAUAUACAAUUAAAAAAAAAAAAAACAAAAAAAAAACAACAAAAAAAACCUCAUGUAUUUACAGCAGAGUCUAUUUCUGGUCUUUUGGGGUCUCACAAACUGGGCAAAACAGGGGGAGGUAUAAAAAGUCCGAUUGCUCUCAAUAAACUUGAAACAGCCUCUGUG